GUCUGGACGCACAAAUGUGCACGGUUGGAUCCAGGAGCUUGAGCACAGCCAUGUUAUUGUUAUCAACACUGAUACUAAGCAGGACUAUCGAUGACGUCCGUCAUUGGAGGUGCUGAGUGACGGAGUACAUGAAGGGACAGCACGGAGUACAGAACGGAGAACAUGAAGGGACAGAACGGAGAACAUGAAGGGACAGGACAGAGUACAGAAAGGAGAACAUGAAGGGACAGGACGGAGAACAGGACGGAGAACAUGAAGGGACAGGACGGAGAACAUGAAGGGACAGGACAGAGUACAGAAAGGAGAACAUGAAGGGACAGGACGGAGGACAGGACGGAGAACAUGAAGGGACAGGACGGAGAACAUGAAGGGACAGGACGGAGAACAUGAAGGGACAGGACGGAGAACAUGAAGGGACAGGACGGAGAACAUGAAGGGAUAGGACGGAGAACAUGAAGGGACAGGACGGAGAACAUGAAGGGACAGGACGGAGAACAUGAAGGGACAGGACGGAGAACAUGAAGAGACAGGACGGAGAACAUGAAGGGACAGGACGGAGAACAUGAAGGGACAGGACGGAGAACAUGAAGAGACAGGACGGAGAACAUGAAGAGAUAGGACGGAGAACAUGAAGGGAUAGGACGGAGAACAUGAGCUGUUUUAUAGCGACACCAUCCAGAUUUAAAGCGGGUUGAACACCGUACUCGCCGCAUGGUGUAUACCACUAUUAAUUCAGAACCAUCCCUUCCAGUGAGAGGACUCAAGGCACCGAGCUGCUCCCUGAUGUAUUCCGGAUCUGCACAAUCGCCAUAACUCUGCCUAGCGCAAGGGGUGUGAAGUUGGUGGGGGGGGUGAACACUAAAGGCUCCUUUCCCACCAGGGACAAACCUGGAUGGGGGGCCAUCCGGUCUGAAGUGGGCUCUGAUGAUCAUGGAAUGUGGGGGACUCGAGAGGACCUCGUAGAGUUGGGAGGGCUAAGAUUUGGUUUGAUUGUAUUGGGCCGGAUUUGCUUCGUGUCCAGUGGUUUGAGACUGAGAUCUUUGAUUACAGAAGCAACAGCCAAUGGCAAGUACGAGGAAAGUAC
ensembl:lncRNA